rnacentral:rRNA from 1 species
UACGUAGGGGGCAAGCGUUGUCCGGAUUUAUUGGGCGUAAAGAGCGUGUAGGCGGCCAGACAGGUCCGUUGUGAAAACUCGAGGCUCAACCUCGAGACGCCGAUGGAAACCGUCUGGCUAGAGUCCGGAAGAGGAGAGUGGAAUUCCUGGUGUAGCGGUGAAAUGCGCAGAUAUCAGGAAGAACACCGAUGGCGAAGGCAGCUCUCUGGGACGGUACUGACGCUGAGACGCGAAAGCGUGGGGAGCGAACAGG